rnacentral:lncRNA from 1 species
AAAAAUACAAAAAUUAGCCAGGUGUGGUGGCGCACGCCUGUAAUCCCAGCUACUCAGGAGGCUGAGGCAAGAGAAUUGCUUGAACCCAGGAGACAGAGGUUGCAGUGAGCUGAGAUCGUGCUACUGCACCCCAGCCUGGGCAAUACAGCAAGACUCCAUCUCAAAAAAAAAAAAAAAAAAAAAAAAAAAGCACUACCCCCAGCUAAUUGUAUGGUUAAAUUCGGGUAAUUUAGAAGGCAUGUAAAGUGUUCCAUACUAUAGAAAAAUGUAAAGUUUUAAAAUUAUUUAUCCAGUGGUUGCAAAAUUGAAAUCAAAAGGGGAUUAAGGGAAGAAAACAGAUAGAUACACAAAUAAUAUAGGCAUUCAUUCUGUUAAUAUUGAGUAAUUACUGUUUGUCAGACACUGUUUUAGGUAUGAGGAAAUGACAGUGAGCAAUACAAAGGCCACAUUCUCAUGGAGUAAAAUUCCAGAGGUGGAGACAUGUAAUUAAUACUUAAAUAUAAAACAGUAGAUUUUCUAAACGCAGAAAACGGAAGAGUAACAAGAAACUAAAUCAAGGAGCAUUAUAUAGCCUAGACUGCAGAGACUCAAUAUAAUAAAGUUGGCGAUUCUUCCUAAUUAUCAAAUUUACUGCAAUUCCAGCCAAAAUGUUUCAGUGGUUUUUUUUGUUUGUUGUUUUUGUUUUUGUUUUGCCCUUUAGCUUCACAGGUUUGUUCUGAAAUUUAUGAGGUAUAAAUUCUUAAGAGCAGCAAGAAAAAUUUCGAAUCUAUUUGUAGAAACUGCAUAUGAUGAUGGUUCAUACCAGUAGAGAGAAAGAUUGGAUUUGGGGGUAUUACUAGUAGUAAGGGGAUUCACUAGUAGUAAGGGAAAUGCAAAAUAAAAUCACAUUGAACUAGUUCAAAAUCAUCACAUUGGCAAAAGCAUUAGAGUGCCAAUUACUGGAAAGAUGUGGAGCAAUAGGAACACUCAUACGGUGCUAUAGGAAGUAGUUGUGUUUAGCAUAAUUUGGCAAUGUCUAGUAAAGUUGAAGAUGUGAAUAAUCUUUGACCCAGCAAUUCCAUGUUUAAACCUCUACAUAGUCUCUCCUCGUGUUUCAAGGAGAUACAUAUGAUGGUCCAUUGCAGAACUGUGAGAAUGAGAAGUUGAAAGCAAUCUAACCAUUAGGUUAAAUACAAGAUAGAAUGCAAACUAAAAUGAAUAACUAGAGAUAUUUCUGUCAACAUGGGUAAACCUCAAAAAUAGUAUUAAUGAAAUUGAACUACAGACUAUUUUAUAUAAUACAGUAUAACGUACAAUUUCAAAACAUGCAAAUUAGUGUUAUGUAUUUUUGUCAUGGCUAAAUACUAUAUAAAAAGGAUCUAAAAGAAUUAAUAAAAUAAUCAUCAGAUUCAGAACAGUGGUGACCUGCAGGGAGAAAGACAACUGAGAUUGGGGAAAGGAUGCAAAUGAAAAUACCUUUAAUUAUUCAUUUCUUUUAAAAAUAAGCAAAUACUGUAUAGCCAAUUCUUAAAAUUUGAUAAAGCUGGCUGUGAGUAUAUGAGUCAGUUCUUACUCUCUGUAUCUUUCUGUAUAAACUAUUUCAUAAUGCAAAAAAAUAAAGAAUAUUUAAAUGAUGUUUGCUUCUAUCAGUUCUUUUUUUUUUUUUCUUUUUUGAGAUGGAGGCUCACUCUGUCGCCCAGGCUGU